rnacentral:rRNA from 1 species
UACGUAGGGGGCAAGCGUUGUCCGGAUUUAUUGGGCGUAAAGAGCGUGUAGGCGGCCAUACAGGUCCGUUGUGAAAACUCGAGGCUCAACCUCGAGACGUCGAUGGAAACCGUAUGGCUAGAGUCCGGAAGAGGAGAGUGGAAUUCCUGGUGUAGCGGUGAAAUGCGCAGAUAUCAGGAGGAACACCUAUGGCGAAGGCAGCUCGCUGGGACGUUACUGACGCUGAGACGCGAAAGCGUGGGGAGCAAACAGG